AAAAGUUAACUUUGUAUAGAGUUGAAACAUCUCCCUUUGCCGCUAGAGGCGCUGUACCAACUGCAUACAAAUUUGAGUUA
rnacentral:pre_miRNA from 1 species